AUUGAACGCUGGCGGCAGGCCUAACACAUGCAAGUCGAGCGAGCGGCGGACGGGUGAGUAAUGUAUGGGGACUGCCCGAUAGAGGGGGAUAACUACUGGAAACGGUGGCUAAUACCGCAUACUAUCGGAUAACCCAUAUGGGAUUAGCUAGUAGGUGGGGUAAAGGCUCACCGAGGCGACGAUCUCUAGCUGGUCUGAGAGGAUGAUCCGCCACACUGGGACUGAGACACGGCCCAGACUCCUACGGAGGAAGCAGUGGUGAAUAUUGGACAAUGGGCGCAAGCCUGAUGCAGCAAUGACGCUUGUAUGAAGAAGGCCUUAGGGUUGUAAAGUACUUUCAGCGGGGAGGCGUUACCUGCAGAAAAAGCACCGGCUAACUCCGUGCCAGCAGCCGCGGUAAUUC
rnacentral:rRNA from 1 species